GACGAACGCUGGCGGCGUGCUUAACACAUGCAAGUCGAACGGAGAAGCGCCUUCCUUGUUGGUGUGUGGUGAUGAGCGGCGGACUGAUGAGUAAGACGUUAGCAACCUGCUCCCUUCUGCUUGAUAACCGCAUGAAAGUGUUGCUAAUACGGGAUAUUUUGGGCCGGUUGGAUGAUUGGUGUGGGAAAGAUUUGGUUUCGGUUGGGGAUGGGUUCGCGGCCUAUUAGCUUGUUGGUGGGGUGAUGGCCUACCAAGGCGGCGACGCGUCGCCGGCCUGAGGGGGUGGACGGCCGAGAGGGGGAUGAGCCACGGCGGAGACUACGACGGGCGGCAGCAGUGGGGAGUGUGGAACGGGGGGAGGAAGGCUGAUGCAGCGGCGCCGCGGGGGGGAUGGAGGGCGGAGGGUUGUACACCUCUUUCGGGAGUGAAGCAGGCCUGCCUCGACUGUGGGUGGGUUGACGGUAGCUGGAUAAGAAGCGCCGGCUAACUACGUG
rnacentral:rRNA from 1 species